rnacentral:rRNA from 1 species
AUUUAUCGGAGAGUUUGAUCCUGGCUCAGGACGAACGCUGGCGGCGUGCCUAAUACAUGCAAGUCGAGCGGACAGAUGGGAGCUUGCUCCCUGAUGUUAGCGGCGGACGGGUGAGUAACACGUGGGUAACCUGCCUGUAAGACUGGGAUAACUCCGGGAAACCGGGGCUAAUACCGGAUGGUUGUUUGAACCGCAUGGUUCAAACAUAAAAGGUGGCUUCGGCUACCACUUACAGAUGGACCCGCGGCGCAUUAGCUAGUUGGUGAGGUAACGGCUCACCAAGGCGACGAUGCGUAGCCGACCUGAGAGGGUGAUCGGCCACACUGGGACUGAGACACGGCCCAGACUCCUACGGGAGGCAGCAGUAGGGAAUCUUCCGCAAUGGACGAUUGUCUGACGGAGCAACGCCGCGUGAGUGAUGAAGGUUUUCGGAUCGUAAAGCUCUGUUGUUAGGGAAGAACAAGUGCCGUUCGAAUAGGGCGGUACCUUGACGGUACCUAACCAGAAAGCCACGGCUAACUACGUGCCAGCAGCCGCGGUAAUACGUAGGUGGCAAGCGUUGUCCGGAAUUAUUGGGCGUAAAGGGCUCGCAGGCGGUUUCUUAAGUCUGAUGUGAAAGCCCCCGGCUCAACCGGGGAGGGUCAUUGGAAACUGGGGAACUUGAGUGCAGAAGAGGAGAGUGGAAUUCCACGUGUAGCGGUGAAAUGCGUAGAGAUGUGGAGGAACACCAGUGGCGAAGGCGACUCUCUGGUCUGUAACUGACGCUGAGGAGCGAAAGCGUGGGGAGCGAACAGGAUUAGAUACCCUGGUAGUCCACGCCGUAAACGAUCAGUGCUAAGUGUUAGGGGGUUUCCGCCCCUUA